GCUGGGUGUGGUGGCGUGCACCUGUAGUCCCAGCUACUCGGGAGGCUGAGGCAGAAGAAUCACUUGAACCUGGGAGGUGGAGGUUGCAGUGAGCCGAGAUCGUUCCACUGCACUCCAGCCUGGGUGACAGAGUGAGACUCUGUCUCAA
rnacentral:SRP_RNA from 1 species